UUUAUUUUUAAAUUUUUAUCUAGAUGUAAAUAUGGUAAAAAGUUUGCAGUAUAAUUUUGGUAAAAUGGUGGAGUAGUGGGAAUUGAAAUGAAACGGUUGGUUGGGAUUAGGAGGGAGGCAAGAAGAGAAAUGAAAUUGGUGUUAGAAUUAGAAUAGCAAUAAGAUGGAAGUAAAAGAAUAGAAUCCUCCAAUAAUGAAUGUGAGGUUGUUGUUGGCGCCACGAAUUUCCCGUUGAUGCGAUACGAGGAAACAUAUGGCAUCUCUCUAUCUCCAUUCCAUUGGGAGAAGGGAGAAAGGAGGGAGGGAAAACACAACAAAAGAAUUCAGUAAUAUCAAUUUAAUCUCUCUAUUUGUUUCUAGUAAUAAUAAUAACAAUAAUGCCGUGGUUUUCGUAUUCUUCCUACUUGGCGUCCGUCCUCGUUCUCUCAUUCGUCUUCGUUGCAGCAGAUGCCUAUGACAACAAUGCCUCCUGCAAUCACGACAUGCAAUUGGUGAAGGUGAAGAACUGGGUUGAUGGCAAGGAAGGUGACAUGCUCAAUGGUAUGACCGCAACAUUUGGCUCUUUUUUGCCCGAGGAUGCCGAUCAAACUCACAAAGCUCCUCUUCUUUAUGCUAUUCCCAAUGACUGCUGUUCCCUUUCAACUUCAAAGUUAUCUGGAUCAGCUGCUGUUUGUGUUCGUGGUAACUGUGACUACACAACUAAAGCUGCAUUCGCACAGUCAGGGGGUGCUACUGCUGUCGUGAUGAUUAAUGACCAGCUCUAUCAGAUGGACUGCCCCGCUGAUUCUACUGAAAAGAUAAACAUUUCAAUUCCAGUCGUGGAAAUGACUGAGUCUGUUGCAGAUUCUCUCGUCAAUUUUUUGAAGUCUGGAAGGAGAGUGGAAGUUCUACUAUAUGCUCCAACUCGUCCAAUUAUAGACUACUCUGUUGGAGUUUUGUGGUUGAUGUCAGUUGGAACAGUUAUAUGCGCUUCAUUAUGGUCAGAUUUCACUGCUUCUGAUCAGUUUGAUGAACACUAUAAUGGAUUGUCUCCCAAGGGAUCUUCCAGUGCUGAAUUAGUGAAAGAUGAUUCUGAAAAUGAAAUUGUUAACAUAGAUGCAAAGGGUGCUGUCGUCUUUGUCAUUACGGCUUCUACUUUUCUUGUGCUACUGUUCUUCUUCAUGUCAUCUUGGUUUAUCUGGGUGCUGAUUAUACUUUUCUGCAUUGGUGGUAUUGAGGGGAUGCAUAAUUGUAUUGUAAGCCUCGUUUUAAGAAAACGGCCCAGUUAUGGUCAGAAGAUUGUGAAUUUACCUCUGUUCGGAGAAGUUUCUGUAUUCUCACUAGCAGUGUUACUAUUUUCUGCGGCAUUUGCGGUAUUAUGGGUUGCUACUCGACGGGAAUCAUUUUCGUGGUUUGGCCAAGAUGUUCUUGGUAUUUGUUUAAUGAUUACAGUAUUGCAAUUGGCUCGCUUGCCUAAUAUUAAGGUUGCAACUGUACUCCUUUGUUGUGCAUUUGUAUAUGACAUCUUUUGGGUAUUCAUAUCUCCGGUGAUAUUCCGCAAGAGUGUUAUGAUUACAGUUGCUCGUGGUGACAAGGCUGGUGGUGAAGCAAUUCCUAUGCUUUUGAGAUUUCCUCGUCCUUCUGAUCCUUGGGGUGGCUAUGAUAUGAUUGGAUUUGGAGACAUUCUCUUUCCUGGUUUGCUUGUUUCCUUUGCUCAUUCGACAAAGAUAAUAAGAAGGGGGUCUUUAGUGGAUAUUUUCUUUGGUUGGUAAUUGGCUAUGCCAUUGGCCUUUUCUUCACAUAUUUUGGGCUAUAUAUGAUGAACGGUCAUGGACAACCUGCACUUCUCUAUCUUGUUCCAUGUACACUAGGAGUGGCUGUGAUAUUGGGAUGCAUAAGAGGUGAACUGAAGUUUCUUUGGAGUUAUAAGGCAGACUCGUCUUCAUCGAGAGAGCCUUCUGAAGUUUGAACCAUCAGACUGUUCAAUGCAACUGGGAAAAAGAUCUCAGAUACAUUGAUAUAAAUGUAAUUAAUGGCAUGUGAUUUAUUCAGUGGUUAGGAAAAUACCAGGUGUACAGGCUACUUUUUCUUGGGCUUCCGUAAAUAUAUUUUGUAUUUAAUAAUUAAUUAAUUAAUGAAAAUGAAUGUUCUUUCUCUGCUGCUUCA